UGUGUAAAGUGUUAAGUGUUGAAGAAUUUGAUGCCCUGACUCCUGUGAUUGAAUCCAGCCUCCAUCAAGUGGAAAGCAUGCACGGAGCAGGACAAAAUCAUACAUGGAAGCUCAGUAUCAAGCAAGUGACGUGGAUGGGGUGAGGGAGCGGUGCAGGACCCAGUGUCUGUGAAGCCCCCACGGUGGUUCCCAUGUCUGCCUCUCUUUCCCCGCACCUGUCACGGUGCAGAAGCAGGCUGCAGUGUCAUAAGCAUCUCCAGGAAUGCCAAGAAGAAUUGGCAACGCAUUCAGGAGCAUUUCUUUUUUGCAACAUUUCACCCACUCAAGGAUUAUUGUCUAGAGACCAUAUUUUACAUCCUUCCACGCCUUUCAGGCCUUAUUGAAGAUGAAUGGAUCACCAUUGAUAAAUUUACCAGAUUCACUGAUGUUCCUUUAGCUGCGGGAUUUCAGUGGUACCUUUCUCAAACUCAACUUAGUAAACUAAAACCAGGUGACUGGUCUCAGCAAGACAUAG
rnacentral:lncRNA from 1 species